AAGCGAGCAAAUUCAAUACUAUGAAGAACAAUUACACAAACAACGAAAUCAUAUCACCAAGCGAACAAUUAAUAUUAAUCUUGAUUAAAACGAAUAGAGGAUGAAAGAAUUGGAGGUCAAUAUAGCCGGAAAAUUGAGUGUUUCAUUGUUUUGAACUCAAAAAUUUAACGAACUGCGGACGGGACUCGAUGGGUGGUCGUCGCCGAUGGAACUCUUGGAGUCGUUGGUUUCGGCCUGUAGAAGAAGAAGCAAACGGGUCCUGAAAUAUGAAAGAGAAGAAGCUCACGCUAAGGUUCUUGUGUUUUUCCGUUGAAGAAGAUGACUCCCGAGGUCUCUCUCUAUGAAAAAAU
rnacentral:lncRNA from 1 species